UACAUGGGGUGCAAACGUUGCUCGGAAUUAUUGGGCGUAAAGCGCGCGUAGGCGGUUACUCAAGUCGGAUGUGAAAGCCCUCGGCUUAACUGAGGAAGUGCACCCGAAACUGAGUGGCUAGAGUACUAAAGAGGGUCGCGGAAUUCCCGGUGUAGAGGUGAAAUUCGUAGAUAUCGGGAGGAACACCGGUGGCGAAGGCGGCGACCUGGGUAGAUACUGACGCUGAGGCGCGAAGGCGUGGGGAGCGAACGGG
rnacentral:rRNA from 1 species